GACGAACGCUGGCGGCGUGCUUAACACAUGCAAGUCGUACGGUAAGGCCCUUUCGGGGGUACACGAGUGGCGAACGGGUGAGUAACACGUGAGUAACCUGCCCACAACUUUGGGAUAACGCUAGGAAACUGGUGCUAAUACUGGAUAUGUGCUCCUGCUGCAUGGUGGGGGUUGGAAAGCUCCGGCGGUUGUGGAUGGACUCGCGGCCUAUCAGCUUGUUGGUGGGGUAGUGUCCUACCAAGGCGGCGACGGGUAGCCGGCCUGAGUGGGUGACCGGCCACAUUGGGACUGAGAUACGGCCCAGACUCCUACGGGAGGCAGCAGUGGGGAAUAUUGCACAAUGGGCGCAAGCCGGAUGCAGCAACGCCGCGUGCGGGAUGACGGCCUUCGGGUUGUAAACCGAUUUCAGCAGGGACGAAGCUUUUUGUGACGGUACCUGCAGAAGAAGCACCGGCUAACUACGUG
rnacentral:rRNA from 1 species